GAUCCUGGCUCAGGACGAACGCUGGCGGCGUGCUUAACACAUGCAAGUCGAACGAAGCUUGAUUACGGAUUCUUCGGAUGAAGUAUGAUAUGACUGAGUGGCGGACGGGUGAGUAACGCGUGAGUAACCUGCCCUUCAGAGGGGGAUAGCGUUUGGAAACGAACGGUAAUACCGCAUAAUGUAUUUUGACCGCAUGAUCGAAAUACCAAAGAUUUAUCGCUGAAGGAUGGACUCGCGUCUGAUUAGGUUGUUGGUGGGGUAACGGCCUACCAAGCCGACGAUCAGUAGCCGGACUGAGAGGUUGAUCGGCCACAUUGGGACUGAGACACGGCCCAGACUCCUACGGGAGGCAGCAGUGGGGAAUAUUGCACAAUGGGCGCAAGCCUGAUGCAGCAACGCCGCGUGAAGGAAGACGGUUUUCGGAUUGUAAACUUCUGUUCUUAGUGAAGAAUAAUGACGGUAGCUAAGGAGCAAGCCACGGCUAACUACGUGCCAGCAGCCGCGGUAAUACGUAGGUGGCAAGCGUUGUCCGGAAUUACUGGGUGUAAAGGGAGCGCAGGCGGGUGAUCAAGUCAGCUGUGAAAACUACGGGCUUAACCCGUAGACUGCAGUUGAAACUGUUCAUCUUGAGUGAAGUAGAGGUUGGCGGAAUUCCGAGUGUAGCGGUGAAAUGCGUAGAUAUUCGGAGGAACACCGGUGGCGAAGGCGGCCAACUGGGCUUUAACUGACGCUGAGGCUCGAAAGUGUGGGGAGCAAACAGGAUUAGAUACCCUGGUAGUCCACACUGUAAACG
rnacentral:rRNA from 1 species